UGCCUUGUCAUCACUUCCGUUUUUUUCUUUUCCUGAGCCCUAUUUAGAGUUAGGAAAGAAAGCGAGUGAAACGGAUAGCCACACUGUCCUCCUCCCUGCGGAUAGGAAUGUAUUUCCUACUGAUCUUGUCUUUUCUAGGAGAAAUAACAGGUGAGACUUUCUUUUGCCAACAAGAACAUGGAAAUCUUAUACUUCAGUGCAAUCAGCCAGGUGCUAAAGAAAAUAAAAGAACAGACUGGUAUAAGACAGCAAGUGAUAUGCAACAACUGGAGUUAAUUAACUGCUCUUCCAAGUGUAAUCACUCAUGUUCAGAAAUGGCUUGCAAUGAUACCUUAGAGGUGACACACGCUUUGUCUGAUGAGGGGAUGUUUGCAUGUGGAGCAAUUUCAAGUGAUGAAGCACCGGUGACUUCCCUACUGUUCAGCAAUGUGUCUCACUGCAGGCACUAUAACUUCUUUCUUGUACAGACUAACACUGAAUCAGGGAAAAAGAGCUCAGGCAACGUUCAGAAAAAAUCACAAGUUCCUCUCAAAUUCAAAGAACAAGAAAACAUCACCCUGUCUUGUGAAUUUUACACUGAGUGCUCAGGACACUGUUUUUUUAUGUACUGGAUCAGAGUCAGUAAAACAAGCGAAUGCCUUUUUUCUGCUGCGAAUGAAGACCUGGCCUCAAGCUUGACUUUUAAUGAGCACUGCUGUGUUGAUCGAGACAUCCAGGAACGACUGUUGAACCAUACAAACUUCAAUUCUCCUCACAAAAAACAUAACAUGACUAUUCUGAACGUCACUAGUUCUGACAGCGGGCAAUAUUUAUGCAUUGUUGCUGCCUGGCAGAAUGGUAAAUUUGAGUGGCAAGUUCCUAAUAACCAGUCUGUGGAUGUUCAGAAAGACAAAGCGGCAUCUGUGCAGUGGCAUAUCAUCUCUGGAGCUGUACUUGGGAUUAUUUUUCUCAGUGUGGCAGCAGGGCUGAUCUAUCUGAAGAUGUUCAGAUCAAAAGGUAAGGAACAUGUCCAAUCAUUUAUUUUUGCUCUAAUUCAAGAGAAAUCCUACAAAUGAUGCUUUUGAAUUAAUAACACUUUAUAACCUGUUUUUAUCUGUUUCAGGGAAGAAAACAACCACAGAAUUUACCAGGUACUACCUUGAAAAAAACAUACCUGAUGGAAUAUCAAAAAUUAUUUUUAAAGUUAUCUACAUAGGCUAGAAUGACUAUAAACAGAUCUUCUCAUCAUUUUUAUUCUAGAGAUCGUGAUGCCACUGGAAAGACAGAAAAUGAAUGUAAGCAUGACGUUUUGAACAAGCUUUUGAAGUUAUCUUCAGAGUAGAUUGAAGCUAUCUUGCACUGCAGGUUUAUCAGGGUUUGUCUAUAUGGGAGGACUCACGUAGAAGCUGACUCAGGGUAGCUCUGGUGAGAAUUUAGUGGACAUGGGCUCUUUAGCAUUAACUAAUUAUUUAAUUAAAUUAAUUUAAUUAAUUAAUUCAUUGAUACACGUCUAUCUCCUGAUGAAGGCUUCUGCAGAUCAAUGUUAAUUAGCUUCCAAAGUGAAUUAAAGAAUAGAAUUGAUGUAAAGAUGCAACGAAGAUCCAUAAAGGAGGCUCUGCAGAAUGAGCUGUUGUUCAAUAGCUGUUCACACUGCUCCAGACUUGUUUAUGUAGACACACUCUUAGUUCACUGUUUAUAGUACUGAAAUGUCACACAAUGCCAAUUCUUUUUGGCAAUUAAAAAUGCGCUAAGCAAAUUAGUUAAGCAAACAGUAGAUAUCUGAGGAGGACUGUACACAUAAAAUACAAGAGAAUUGGAAGACACAGUCUCAGUUUUCUCUUCUUCUCUCUUUUCUGACUUUGAUCAAGUUAGAGCUCCCUGUCUCAGGCUUUCAUUCUCCAUGCGAGGUAAGAACAUAAGCUCUUUGUAUCCUCAGUGGGGAGGCCAGAAAGAAAUUUUGCUAGGGAAGUGCUUCACAGACACUCCAUCCUGCAGUCAUUACACUAUUGCUGGUAUAUGACUUCUCUUAACUCUGACUUAGAACAGAAUACAAUCCAGUGCUCGGGUAUAGGACAGAGGAGAUCCCCUCUGCCCCCCUAAAGGGGGGGGGGAAUUAAUUUAUUUUGAUAUUUUUUAAACAAAAAAAUAACCAAUUCUAAUCCUGUGAAAUUAAUUCAUUUUGUUUUCCACAGGUACUCCAUAUGCAGUAAGUGGUAGCAGUGACACGUACAGAAACGAGAGCCUUUACUGCCUCGUAACGAGGACUUGCCCAGAGCCAAACGAGACCUCUCCUAGCUCAGAUAACAACAGGGCUCUGGGCAGGACGGGAGCAGAUAUACAUACAGUCUACGCGCUGCUGAAUAAAUAACUGUUUCAGCUACCUCGGGAUGUGAAG
ensembl:lncRNA uncharacterized LOC104148313